CCUACGGGCGGCAGCAGUGGGGAAUAUUGGACAAUGGGGGCAACCCUGAUCCAGCCAUGCCGCGUGUGUGAAGAAGGCCCUCGGGUGGUAAAGCACUUUCAGUGAGGAAGAACGCCUGGUGGUUAAUACCCAUCAGGAAAGACAUCACUCACAGAAGAAGCACCGGCUAACUCCGUGCCAGCAGCCGCGGUAAUACGGAGGGUGCGAGCGUUAAUCGGAAUUACUGGGCGUAAAGCGCGCGUAGGUGGCUUGAUAAGCCGGUUGUGAAAGCCCCGGGCUCAACCUGGGAACGGCAUCCGGAACUGUCAAGCUAGAGUGCAGGAGAGGAAGGUAGAAUUCCCGGUGUAGCGGUGAAAUGCGUAGAGAUCGGGAGGAAUACCAGUGGCGAAGGUGGCCUUCUGGACUGACACUGACACUGAGGUGCGAAAGCGUGGGUAGCAAACAGGAUUAGAUACCCGAGUAGUC
rnacentral:rRNA from 1 species